UGGAGCCAUCCCUGAGCUGGUAGUCUUGGGUUCUAUAAGAAAGCAAGCUGAGCAAGCCAGGGAAAGCAAGCCAGUAAAGAACAUCCCUCCAUGGCCUCUGCAUCAGCUCCUGCUUCCUGACCUGCUUGAAGUUCCAGUCCUGACUUCCUUUGGUGAAAAACAGCAAUGUGGAAGUGUAAGCUGAAUAAACCUUUUUCUCCCCAACUUGCUUCUUGGUCAUGAUAUUUUGUGCAGGAAUAGAAACCCUGACUAAGACACAUACAUACAUACAUACAUACAUACAUACAUACAUACAUACAUACAUACAUACAGAAUGGCUAUUUUAAUCUUACCAAUCCAUCUUCUGAUGUCUUCUUUAAUUUUUUUCUUCAAUAUCAUAAAAUUUUUAUCACACAACUCUCACUUACUUAGCUAGAGUUACUGCAAGAUAUUUUAUGUGUGUUGGCUGUGGGCUUGCUCUAAACUGUCUUCAUGAUCCUGCGGUGUGCACUUUGUAUCCUGAAUCUCUCCAGGACUUGUAUCAUAAAGGGUCAGACGUAUCUGAAGCCUUACCCACACCUAAUGUGAUCAUGUAAUUUCUAUCUUUCACUCUGUUUAUUCAAUGGAUCACAUUUACUGAUUUUCAUAUGUUGAACCAUCUCUGGGAUGAGGCUUACCUGACCAUGGUGAAUUGAUCCUUUUUGAUGUGAUCUUGGAUUCUGUUCCCAUGUAUUUUACUGAGAAUUUUAGCAUCUAUGUUCAUAAGGAAAUUAGUCUGUAAUUUCCUUUGUUGGGUCUUUAUGCUGGCUAUCAGAGUAAUUCUGGCCUUGUUAAACAAAUUGUGCAAUGUUCUUUCUGUUUCUAUAUUGUAGAAUAAUUUGAGAACUAUUGGCAUUAACUCUCUUUUGAAAGUCUGACAGGGGCUGGAGAGGUGGCUCAGAGAUUAAGAACACUGACUGUUCUUCCAAAGGUCCUGAGUUCAAUUCCCAGCCACCACUUGGAGGCUCACAACCAUCUGUAAUGGGAUCUGGUGCCCUCUUCUGGUGUGUCUGAAGACAGUGACAAUGUACUCAUAUACAUAAAAUAAAUAAAUCUUAAGAAAAAAAAAAGAAGAAAAGAAAGUCUGACAAAAUGCUGCACAAAAACCAUGGUCCUAGGCUUUUUUUGCUAAUUACUGACUCUAAUUUUGUUAGAUGAUAUAGGACAAUUAAAAUUGCUUCUCUGAUCGUGACUUAGCAUUGCUAAGUGGUAAGUAUUAAGACAAGUCAUCCCUUUCUUUUAGAUUUUCCAAUUUGGUGUAAUACAGGUUUUUAAAGUCUGUCCUUUGGAUUCUCUGCAUUUCUCCUUUUUCUGUUGUUAAGCCCCCCUUUCCACUUCUAGUUUUGUUCACUUGAAUAUUCUUUCUCCACCUUUUAGUUAAUUGGAUAAGGGUUUGUCAGUCUUAAUGAUUUUUCUCAAAGAACUACCUCAUCCCAUUGAUACUUUGCAUUGUUUGUUUUCUUUUUCUAUUUUAUUGAUUUCAGCCAUGAGUUUGACUACUUUUUGCAAUCUACUCCCUUUGGGUAUGAUGUCUCCUUUUUGUACUACAGCUUUCAGGUGUGCUAUUAACUUACCAAUGUGAGAUUUGCAUAAAUUUUUAUGUCGGCACUUAGUGCUGUGUACUUGCCUCUUAGAACCACCUUUUUUAUGUCUCAUAAGUUUGACUAAGAAACACAGCUUGUUUCUUAGACCCAUUUGCUUAUAAUAUCUUUUUCCAACCCUUUAUCCUGAGUUGAUGUUUGUCUUUGAUGUUAACUCUAAAGAGUUUUUCUUUUUUUUUUCUUGAUUUCUGCCAUGGAUCAUUUAAUAGUGAGUUGUUCAGUUGCCAUGAAUUAUAAGCUUUCUAUUGUUUCUGUUCUUGAUAUUCCGUUUUAAUCCAUGGUGGUCACGUAGAACAUAGGAUGUUAUUUCAGUUUUCAUGUAUUUGUUGAGACUUGCUUUGUGUCCAAGUAUAUGGUCAACUUUAGAAAAAGUUCUAUGGUAUUCUACUACUAAGAAGGUAUAUUCUCUUGUCUUUGAGUGAAAUGUUCUAUAAAUAUAUUAGGCAUACUUGGCUUAUAACAUCUGUUAGCGCUAUCAUUUCUCUAUUUGGUUUUUGUCUGGAUGACCUGUCCAUUGGCAAUAGUUGGGUAUUGAAGUCUUCCACUAUCAGUGUAUGGGGGUCAAUAUGUGCUAUAAGCUAUAAUGGUCUUUCUUUUAUGAACUUGGGUACCCUUUUAUUUGGGGCAUAAAUGUUAAGAGUUUCAGUGUCCUCUUGGAGUUUUCCAUUGAUAAGUAUGUUCUAUCUUUCUGUAUCUCUUCUGAUUAGUUUUGGUUUGAAGUCUUAUUUUGUUAGAUGUUAAAAUGGCUACACAGCUUGUUUCUUAGGCCCAUUUGCUUGUUAUAUCUUUUUCCAAUCCAUUAUCCUGAGUUGAUGUUUGUCUUUGAUGUUAAGGUGUGUUUCUUGGAUGCUAUGGAUGGAUCCUGCUUUUGGACCCACUUUGUUAGUCUGUGUCUUUUUAUUGGAGAAUUGAGACCAUUAAUGUUGAGAGAUAGCAGUGUUUGUUGACUCCUGUUAUUUUGGUAGUGGUGGUGUGGUGGUGGUGGCAGCAGUGGCAGUGACAUCUGGAACUUAAAAUGUAGACCAAGAAGGCCUCAAACUCAUAGAGAUCUGCCUACCUCUGCCUCCCAAGUGCUGGAAUUGAAAGUAUGUGCCAAUAUUUUCUUCACUUGGAGUGGAAAAUUCCAAAUAUAGAGAAUCCUGAAAAUUAAAAUGUGCACUGGGCCAGAGAAAUGGCUCAGUGAUUAGAAAUUCUGGCUGCCCUUUCAGAGGAUCCAGGUUCAAUUCUCUCACCUAAAUGGACACUCACUGUCGGAUGUAACACCCUCUUCUGGCCUCAUCAAGCACUGCAUGAAUGUGGUAUACAGAUAUACAUACAGGCAAAAUGCUCAUACACAUUGUCUUAGUUAGGGUUUUACUGCUGUGAAUAGACACCAUGACCAAGGAAAGUCUUAUAAAAACAACAUUUAAUUGGGGCUGGCUUACAGGUUCAGAGGUUCAGUCCAUUAUCGUCAAGGUGGAAGCAUGGCAGUAUCCAGGCAGGAUUGGUGCAGGCAAAGCUGAGGAGAUUUCUACAUCUUCAUCCAAAAGCUGCUAGUAGAAAACUGACUUCCAAGCACCUUAGGAUGAGAGUCUUAAGCCCACGCCCACAGUGACACACCUAUUCCAACCAGGCCACACCCCCAGAUGGUGCCACUCCCUGGUCCGAGAAUAUACAAACCAUCACAUACAUAAAAAAUAAAUAUUAUGCCAACAGUAUGGCUGCCUAAGACUUGGACAGGGGCACCACCAAUAAACACAGGAUAACAUGGAAGGCUGAAAAUCUCACAGCACCCUACCCCUAAACAAAGAAGGAGCAAAUAAAUGCUGAGAGGGAAAGUUUUGUCUUCCUCAACAUGAGUCCAUAAUUGAUUUUACAAUACCAAGUGGUCAGCCCUGAAAAGCAACACUUAAGUGGAUUCACAGGGUUAUAUUAAUGUGUGUGUGUGUGUGUGUGUGUGUGUGUGAGAGAGAGAGAGAGAGAGAGAGAGAGAGAGAGAGAGAGAGGCCAUAAAUAGGGGCACUACAUGGGAGGGAUUGGAGGAAAGAAAGUGAAGGAGGAAAAUGAUAUAAUUUUAUUUUAAUUUAAAAGUAAAAUAAGGGCUGGAGAGAUUGCUCAGUGGCUAAGAGCACUGACUGCUCUUCCAGAGGACCUCAGUUCAAUUUCCAGCAAACACAUGGUGGCUCACAACCAUCUGUAAUGAGAUAUCUUAUGCCCUCUUCUGGUGUGUCUGAAGACAGCUUCAGUGUACUCAUAUACAUAAAAUAAAUCUUAAC
rnacentral:lncRNA from 1 species